rnacentral:rRNA from 1 species
AGUGAACGCUGGCGGUAGGCCUAACACAUGCAAGUCGAACGGCAGCACAGUAAGAGCUUGCUCUUACGGGUGGCGAGUGGCGGACGGGUGAGGAAUACAUCGGAAUCUACUUUUUCGUGGGGGAUAACGUAGGGAAACUUACGCUAAUACCGCAUACGACCUACGGGUGAAAGCAGGGGAUCUUCGGACCUUGCGCGAUUGAAUGAGCCGAUGUCGGAUUAGCUAGUUGGCGGGGUAAAGGCCCACCAAGGCGACGAUCCGUAGCUGGUCUGAGAGGAUGUUCAGCCACACUGGAACUGAGACACGGUCCAGACUCCUACGGGAGGCAGCAGUGGGGAAUAUUGGACAAUGGGCGCAAGCCUGCUCCAGCCAUACCGCGUGGGUGAAGAAGGCCUUCGGGUUGUAAAGCCCUUUUGUUGGGAAAGAAAAGCAGCAGGUUAAUACCCCGCUGUUCUGACGGUACCCAAAGAAUAAGCACCGGCUAACUUCGUG